rnacentral:rRNA from 1 species
GUCUACGGACCAAAGGGGGCNUCUACAUGUNGGCUAUCGCGUCGGGAUGGGCCCAGGUAGGANGUAGCUAGNUGGGUAAGGUAAUGGGCUUACCCAAGGCGACGAUCCUUUAGCUGGGUUUGAGGAGGAUGAUCAGCCACACUGGGACUGAGGACACGGCCCAGACUCCUACGGGAGGCAGCAGUGGGGAAUAUUGCACAAUGGGGGAGACCCUGAUGCAGCCAUGCCGNCGUGUGUGAAGAAGGCCUUCGGGUUGUAAAGCACUUUCAGCAGUGAGGAAGGUAGUGUACUUAAUACGUGCAUUGCUUGACGUUAGCUGCAGAAGAAGCACCGGCUAACUCCGUGCCAGCAGCCGCGGUAAUACGGAGGGUGCGAGUCGUUAAUCGGAAUUACUGGGUCGUAAAGUCGCAUGCAGGCGGUUUGUUAAGUCAGAUGUGAAAGCCCGGGGNCUCAACCUCGGAACCGCAUUUGAAACUGGCAGGUCUAGAGUCUUGUAGNAGGGGGNNAGAAUUUCAGGUGUAGCGGNUGAAAUGUCGUUAGAGAGUCUGAAGGAANUACCAGUGGNCGAAGGCGGUCCCCCNGGACAAAGACUGACGUCUCAGAUGCGAAAGUCGUGGGUAGCAAACAG